ensembl:miRNA
GGGGGCGCCUGCGGGAUGGACAGCCGGCCCCGCCAACCCAGUGUUCAGACUACCUGUUCAGGAGGCCGUCAAUGUGUACAGUAGUCUGCACAUUGGUUAGGCUGGGCUUGGGCAAGCGGCGCGUCGAGACAGGCCCCCC